GACGAACGCUGGCGGCGUGCCUAAUACAUGCAAGUCGAACGCUUCUUUCCUCCCGAGUGCUUGCACUCAAUUGGAAAGAGGAGUGGCGGACGGGUGAGUAACACGUGGGUAACCUACCCAUCAGAGGGGGAUAACACUUGGAAACAGGUGCUAAUACCGCAUAACAGUUUAUGCCGCAUGGCAUAAGAGUGAAAGGCGCUUUCGGGUGUCGCUGAUGGAUGGACCCGCGAUGCAUUAGCUAGUUGGUGAGGUAACGGCUCACCAAGGCCACGAUGCAUAGCCGACCUGAGAGGGUGAUCGGACACACUGGGACUGAGACACGGCCCAGACUCCUACGGGAGGCAGCAGUAGGGAAUCUUCGGCAAUGGACGAAAGUCUGACCGAGCAACGCCGCGUGAGUGAAGAAGGUUUUCGGAUCGUAAAACUCUGUUGUUAGAGAAGAACAAGGACGUUAGUAACUGAACGUCCCCUGACGGUAUCUAACCAGAAAGCCACGGCUAACUACGUG
rnacentral:rRNA from 1 species